CAAGCCAAGGACAGAGGCCUGGAACAGACUCUUCCCUGAGGGCCCUCCAAAGGAACCAAUCCUGCUAACACCUGGAUCUCAGACCCCCAGCCUCCAGAGACUUGUCUGUUUAUUUGAAGUCUGUGCUCUCCUACCUCACCUAGUCUGCAAGGCUCAUGAGGGCAGGGACCAUGGCUGCCUUGUUAACUACCAUAUAAUCUGGAUCAUGCACAUGGGAGAACAUUGGAAUAGCUGCUAUGAUGAAGCUCAGGCUGCUAUGAGGAAGCAGUCUACCCCAUG